rfam:Felis catus isolate Cinnamon breed Abyssinian chromosome D4, whole genome shotgun sequence.
ACCUGGGUGGCUCAGUCGGUUGAGCGUCUGACUUUGGCUCAGGUCUUGAUAUCACGGUUGGUGGGUUCGAGCCCCGUGUCAGGCU